rnacentral:rRNA from 1 species
GACGAACGCUGGCGGCGUGCUUAACACAUGCAAGUCGAACGGAAAGGCCCUGCUUUUGUGGGGUGCUCGAGUGGCGAACGGGUGAGUAACACGUGAGUAACCUGCCCUUGACUUUGGGAUAACUUCAGGAAACUGGGGCUAAUACCGGAUAGGAGCUCCUGCUGCAUGGUGGGGGUUGGAAAGUUUCGGCGGUUGGGGAUGGACUCGCGGCUUAUCAGCUUGUUGGUGGGGUAGUGGCUUACCAAGGCUUUGACGGGUAGCCGGCCUGAGAGGGUGACCGGCCACAUUGGGACUGAGUUACGGCCCAGACUGCUACGGGAGGCAGCAGUGGGGUAUAUUGCACAAUGGGCGGAAGCCUGAUGCAGCAACGCCGCGUGCGGGAUGACGGCCUUCGGGUUGUAAACCGCUUUCGCCUGUGACGAAGCGUGAGUGACGGUAAUGGGUAAAGAAGCACCGGCUAACUACGUG